CUGCAAGAGUUAUAUGGACGUCAAAGAUAGUGAGGUUUUGAAAUCCUGAUAAUAAUCAAUAAUCACAGCACUGUUUACAAAGCAGUUUCAUACUCAUUUUCUCAUUAGAUUAUUACAACCACUGGGAUUAAAACACUUAUCUCACAACAUCUUUGGGAGGAUCAAAUGAAAUAAUAAAUGUGAAAGUGCUUUGUCAACCAAAGACUGCUAUAAAAAUAAAUGUAGACCGAGGUUGAGGCUAUCGUUGCAGAAUUGUAAUCUCUGCACUUGAAAUUGAUGUGGAUAUGCAAGCAAAUGAAAGGAAAAUGAAAGAUUUUUUCCCCUGGAAGAGACCCCUCUUCGCCCAUCACUACAUGUCAGACUGAAGAAACAAGGAUGCUGAAUCCCCAGCUUAAUGCCAUCCCCUCUCGAACUAGGAACUCAUUUGUUCAAACUAAGAUUUCAAGAUGAAACUCCAAUCAGCAGUCCCCGUGAAAGUAUCAUUUCAAUCCAAAGAUUUUUUGAAGGAUGGACUGAUUAAAUAAUGAGUUUAGAAAUAUAAAUAAAGAAGUAGGACAGCAAAGUAAAAAAAUAAUCCCCUGGGAUUUAGAAUUGAUACAUUUAGGGCCUAAAAAUAAGAAAAAAAAAAUUA
rnacentral:lncRNA from 1 species